rfam:Gossypium raimondii chromosome 5, whole genome shotgun sequence.
AAACCGUGCAUUAGGCAUUUUCUAAUUAGUUCCUUGAAACGCUCACAUGCUUCAUAUAAUGUUUCAUCUUCUAGUUGUCUAAACGAUGUAAUGUCAUUCCUAAGCUU